UGUGGGCAUGUCCCCCAGAAAAUUUUUAAAAUUUGGACCCCGAAAUGGCAUUUGCCUUGCAGCACUCUGAGAACACAUUUUGCAAAACUAGGUUUAAAGUUUUUAAAGUUUUUAAGGUUUUAAGUCUACCAAAAUUAUAGGGGGAGGGGGGGGGGGGCGCUCGGCCCUACCCCGUAGUAUCUAAGUUUACUAAAUAGCCGGCUGUAUAGUCACUUCGAAAUUUAAAUGUUUGUUUGUGAAUGAAAUUUUUUCAUAGCAACCAUGGAAUUCCUUUGCGCAGAUACAUGUACGCCUAGCGUACCUAUUUUUUAGCAAUUUUAGUGACCACAAUAUAACAAUUGAUAAAUGAAAUACCGCCUAGUCGCAUUAAGUUGAGGAG